rnacentral:rRNA from 1 species
AAAGAAAGCGUAAUAGCUCACUGGUCGAGUCGGCCUGCGCGGAAGAUGUUACGGGGCUAAACCAUGCACCGAAGCUGCGGCAGCGACGCUUAUGCGUUGUUGGGUAGGGGAGCGUUCUGUAAGCCUGUGAAGGUGUGCUGUGAGGCAUGCUGGAGGUAUCAGAAGUGCGAAUGCUGACAUAAGUAACGAUAAAGCGGGUGAAAAGCCCGCUCGCCGGAAGAC